rnacentral:rRNA from 1 species
CACCGCGGUUAUACGAGAGACUCAAGUAGAUAAGCAAACGGCGUAAAGUGUGGCUAAGGAAAGACAAAAAAUAAAGCAGAACAUCCUCAGCACUGUAGUACGUACCGCCGAGAGAUAGAAAAUCACCUACGAAAGUGGCUUUAAUUUUCCCCACUCACGAAAGCUGAGAAA